rnacentral:sRNA from 1 species
CACCAGAACAUGCAAGCCAUUGGACCGGAUUCUACGCUGUUGAUGAAACAUCAUCGUUCAUUCAUUGAUUCACUGAUUCAUUCAUUUUUUCAUGUUUUUUUUUUUUUUUUUUUUAAAAAUCUUUUCUGUGGUUUCAAUUGGCCUGUUCAACAGGAUUUUAUGUAACAUAUGGAUAAAAUAUUAUAUCAUCUAUCUUUACUCCACGGCCCGGGGAAUCCAGGCUAGAGGAGAGAAGAGGGGCGAGAAAAGAAGGAAUAUCCGGAAAAGAUUGAACGUGCUUCUAAAAUUUGAGCUCUUUUUUUUUUUUUUUUUUUUUUUUUUGACUGGCUCGCCCCGGUGGUUGAGGUGUUUUUGUACCCUAUCAAAAUCCCAAGUGCUUUGGAGUACUAAGAUUUCAUGAGCUUUGGGCACUUUGUACCGCAAAAAUCUGACCAGGAGAAGAUGGGGUGGGGUUUGGUGUUGUUGCUCUCAAAGUAAAAGGACAGACAAUGUUAUUUUCUCACCUCCUUGCUCAUCGAAUCUAAGUUGAGAGGAGAUUAGUAAGUUAGGGGCAGUAGGAGUAAUACUUCUGUAGCGUGUAUACGGAUAAGUGAUGUGUGUAUAUUUCUUAUAUACUGAAUUUGAUACUGGUUGUUGUCUUGUUGCGAAAUCUAACCCAGAGGGUGUCCAAAAAGGGGGGAAUGGGUGAGGGCUCAAUGUCAGAAGCGGAUAUAUAGAAGAAGAGAGGAACAAAACAAUACAUCAUUAGCGCAAGGGACGAGAAAAGGAGGAGAGGGGGAAACCGUUAGAUAAAAUAUACAAAGACAAAUUCGAAGGGAGGUGAGCUAGAAAGGUCGACAUUACAAAGCCAUAUACAUAGGUAUCCAGAAUAAAUAAAUUAGUAAAUAAAAUGGGAAGAGAAACGGAGAAACAAAAAAAUGUUUACAGU